GCAUUUUAUCUUAAAGUAAAUUAUAUAUGUAUGUCUUGUAUUUGUAAUGUCUUACUUUGUGUUACAUGUCUGUGUCUUUAAGUAAAGUAGAUUUUAAUAUAUUUUGCCUCAUUAUGAACAUAACUGACUUAUACAAAUAUAUUACAACAGGUGCAGUAUUGGCUGGAUGGUUGUGAGAAGGACGAUGAUGUUUAUGAAUUAACAGAAAAGGAAUUUUAUACAGAUUUGAAGGACGGAAAUUUGUUUAUCCUUAACAGUACACAGUUGGAUCAUUGCUACACAAAUUCUUGAAAAAGACUAUAAGGUUUUACAAUUUUAUGUGGAAAGGCUAGUUUAUGUCUUGAUUUUUUGGAAGAUUAGGGAAAUCACUGUGUAAGUAAUUGAAUACAUCUGUAAAUUUGUUCUACUAUAUGUACUACAUUUGAUGUGUAAUGCAUAACUGCAGUCUUGAGCUUAAACGAUAGAAAUUUAUGAUUUUUUGGUAACCGCAUGUGCGCAAUGUACGACGUGCCAUUAUUGUCAUUACUUUAUCUACGACUGAGAAUUUUGUUAUAUGUUGCUUAAAGUUACUAAAUAUUUUUAUUGUUUUCUUGAAUUUGGAUAAGAAUGAGUUAAAGUAACUUGUAAUAAUAUGAUUUUAUGAAAAAAUAUUAGAUUUUGAAGCAUAAACAUUGCUGUUUGAAACAAUUUUCUAUGAAACGCCAUAACGGUCAUUAUCAAACUUGGUUAAUUCGUACACUACUCUUAUGUUAUAUUGUGAACAUUGUCUUAUUAGUCCUUCGUUUUCUUUGUAGUCCUUUACCACACUCACACAUACAUGCCAUCUUACAUAUCUAAGUCAAUAAAGAAUUCAUCUAUGGACUUGGGGUAUUCUAUGUGGAUGCAGUUAUUGUGAAUGGUUAACUAACUGUCUGCUAAUCACGAGACAGUACACAAUA